GCUUUUUCCCUCCAAGUGGCUGUGCAGUUCUGUCCUGCUGACUGCUAACAUAGCUUCAUCUCUUCAAAGGACAAGACAACAGGUAUCUUCCACCAAGAUGUCUGUUGAAAUGGAAAUGACCUUACCCACUACACCAAGGGUAAUUAUGCUUGGAAAUAGCUUGAUGUCUGCAACCCGGUGGAUGGUCAGUAUGGAGGAGAAGGUAUUUUUCGAGCCUGAGCAACUACAUGACUUUGCCAGCGUCCUUGCUGUCUUUUUGGGGUCAUAUUAUGUCUUCAAUCUGGAGUAUCAGGAGUCAGCAUCCACCACGCUGGAGAUGAUACAAUGGCAAGUACUCUACACCAAGCCAUUUAUGAAUUAAAUUUAAUGACAGUUUGACUGAUGAUGAAGAACCAUAGCUGAUUGCUGU